CUUUAAAAAAAUUAGUUUCAGAGAUUGAAUUCUCUUACCUCUGCAUUGAUUAGUGCAAGCGCCAGUACCUUAAAAGUAUUAAGGUCAGAUAUCUUAAAAAUAUUUUCAAAUGUAAGUUUUAUAGGGACUCAAGUCUAGGCUUGUUACAGAAAUGCCACCUGGGACCACUGUGAGGCUAGUGAAAGUUAAAGAUUUGAGAUGGGGUCAGUUAACCAAGACGGAGAGAGUAGUUCUGAGGGCAGAAUGGAGGCCUGGAAGUUGAGGCUUGGGAAACCUCACAGUUGAGAAAUGGGAGG